rnacentral:rRNA from 1 species
CACUGCCUGCCCACUGAUAUAUUAUUUUUAACGGCCGCGGUAUUCUGACCGCGCAAAGGUAGCAUAAUCACUUGUCUUUUAAAUAAAGACUAGUAUGAACGGCAAAACGAAAGCUUAACUGUCUCCUUUAUCCAGUCAAUGAAACUGAUCCCCUGGUACAAAAGCCAGAAUUUAACAAUAAGACGAGAAGACCCUAUGGAACUUUAAACACGCACCAACCCACUGUCUACUACAAAAGACUUGACACGCUGUUUUUGGUUGGGGCAACCACGGAGAAAAACUAUCCUCCAAGAAAAUUAAACCGAGUAACACAAAACAAAGUUUCACCACCUUACCACGACCCAGUACAACUGAUCAACGAACCAAGCUACCCUAGGGAUAACAGCGCUAUCUCCUCCAAGAGUCCAUAUCGCCGAGAAGGUUUACGACCUCGAUGUUGGAUCAGGGUACCCAGACAGUGCAGCCGCUGCCAAAGGUUUGUUUGUUCAA